rnacentral:rRNA from 1 species
AUUGAACGCUGGCGGCAGGCCUAACACAUGCAAGUCGAGCGGUUGAGGUAGCUUGCUACCGAUACAGCGGCGGACGGGUGAGUAAUACAUGGGAAUCUGCCUGGUAGUGGGGGACAACGUUUCGAAAGGAACGCUAAUACCGCAUACGCCCUACGGGGGAAAGGGGGGAUCUUCGGACCUCUCGCUCUCAGAUGAGCCCGUGUCAGAUUAGCUUGUUGGUGAGGUAAAGGCCCACCAAGGCGACGAUAUGUAACUGGUCUGAGAGGAUGAUCAGUCACACUGGAACUGAGACACGGUCCAGACUCAUACGGGAGGCAGCAGUGGGGAAUAUUGGACAAUGGGCGCAAGCCUGAUCCAGCCAUGCCGCGUGUGUGAAGAAGGCCUUAGGGUUGUAAAGCACUUUCAGUGGGGAGAAAGGCCUUUUACUUAAUACGUAAGAGGAUUGAUGUUACCCACAGAAGAAGCACCGGCUAACUCCGUGCCAGCCGCCGCGGUAA